rnacentral:rRNA from 1 species
GACGUAGGGCGCAAGCGUUGUCCGGAUUUAUUGGGCGUAAAGAGCUCGUAGGCGGCUUGUUGCGUCGACCGUGAAAACCCGUGGCUCAACUGCGGGCUUGCGGUCGAUACGGGCGGGCUAGAGUUCGGUAGGGGAGACUGGAAUUCCUGGUGUAGCGGUGAAAUGCGCAGAUAUCCUAAGGAACACCGGUGGCGAAAGCGGCUCACUGGGUCUCUUCUGACGCUGAGGCACGAAAGCUAGGGUAGCGAACGGG